AGCUCAUGUCCAGCAGCUCAUGUCCAGCUCGGUUUUCCUCCCAGGAAUUCAGCAGCGCAUCAGGAGGAGGAAACCGCCGCAGACGCUUCAGGCUGAUGUUGGAGGGAGAAACGCCAGCGAAGCAGAAUCACAGGUA